rnacentral:rRNA from 1 species
AGCACCGCCACGGUAAACCGGAGGGAGCUAGCGUUAUUCGGAAUUACUGGGCGUAAAGCGCACGUAGGCGGCUUUGUAAGUUAGAGGUGAAAGCCUGGAGCUCAACUCCAGAAUUGCCUUUAAGACUGCAUCGCUUGAAUCCAGGAGAGGUGAGUGGAAUUCCGAGUGUAGAGGUGAAAUUCGUAGAUAUUCGGAAGAACACCAGUGGCGAAGGCGGCUCACUGGACUGGUAUUGACGCUGAGGUGCGAAAGCGUGGGGAGCAAACAGGAUUAGAGACCCGCGUAGUCCCUGUCUCUUAUACA